AUUGAACGCUAGCGGGAUGCCUUACACAUGCAAGUCGAACGGAGUGGCGAACGGGUGAGUAAUGUAUAGGAACGUGCCUAGUAGCGGGGGAUAACUACGCGAAAGCGUCGCUAAUACCGCAUACUAUUGGAGCGGCCUAUGUCGGAUUAGCUAGUUGGUGGGGUAACGGCCAACCAAGGCGACGAUCCGUAGCUGGUUUGAGAGGAUGACCAGCCACACUGGGACUGAGACACGGCCCAGACUCCUACGGGAGGCAGCAGUGGGGAAUUUUGGACAAUGGGCGAAACCCUGAUCCAGCCAUGCCGCGUGUGCGAUGAAGGCCUUCGGGUUGUAAAGCACUUUUAGUAGGAAAGCGGUACCUGCAGAAUAAGCACCGGCUAACUACGUGCCAGCAGCCGCGGUAAUUC
rnacentral:rRNA from 1 species